rnacentral:lncRNA from 1 species
GGUUGUCCAGCCCUGGCCCAGGUUGGAUAUAGGGAAAAUUCCUCCUGGAAGGAGUUGUCCAGCCCUGGCCCAGGGUGUCCAGGGUGGAGGGUGUACGUUCUCCUCACCAGGUUUCUCUGGAGUUCCCUCUGGCACUCCUGGUGCUCCAGACCCUUCCUCAGCUCCAUUUCCUUCUCUGGACACACUCCAGCCCCCCAAUGUCUUUUUCUCUAUCCACACCCAGGAUUUGAGGCGCUUCUGCCAUGAACACCUCAAAUUCCCAAAAUUUCCCCUUUGUGAGCUCAGAGUUCAAGUGGGACUGAGCAGUUUGGGGGUGAAUCCAGUGAAAGGCACUUUGGUGGGAUGCCAGAGGCAGAGUGUGUGGGGUCACAGCGUUGGGGCCAGGGUGGCAGCACCUCCAGGCCCCUCAGAGGCUCCUGCUGUUCCUUGCAGUGCCAUGGGAACGGUGGUGCUGGACGGGCAGAUCUACGUGUGUGGUGGCUACGAUGGAAACUCAUCCCUCAACUCGGUGGAGUCCUACUCUCCAGAAACAAACAAGUGGACCACAGUGACCCCCAUGAGCUCCAACCGCAGCGCUGCCGGCGUCACCGUGUUCGAGGGACGCAUCUACGUGUCCGGGGGGCACGACGGGCUCCAGAUCUUCAACAGUGUAAGGGCCUGGCCAGGGCUCAGCCCCUGCACUCAGCACCUCUGUGUCCUGUCCCUGGGCAGCCAAACAGCCCCGAGUGCUUGUGCCACCAAAUUGUGUCACUUCCAGCCACAACAGAAAAACCUGAGGGGGAGCUGAAGGGACUCGUUUAUCCACUCAGGGACGUGGAGAUGUUCUGAGGGCUGGAGCCCCUUGGAUAUGGAGACAGGCUGGGAGAGAAGAGAAGGCUCCAAAGAGCCUCUUCCAGAGCCUAAAGGGGCUCCAGGAGAGCUGGAAAGGGGCUGGGGACAAGGCAUGGAGGGACAGGACACAGGGAAUGGCUUUGAGCUGAAGGAGAGGAGCUUUAGGUGGGAUAUUGGGAAGUAGUUCCUGGCCAUGAGGGUGGGCAGGCCCUGGCACAGAGCGGAUCCCUGGCAGUGCCCCAGGCCAGGCUGGACAGGGCUGGGAGCAGCCUGGGACAGGGGGAGGUGUCCCUGCCAUGGCAGGGGUGGCACUGGGUGAUCCUUAAGGUCCCUUCCAACCCAAACCCUUCAGGCACCAUCCCAUAACAUCCAAACCUUUAACUGAAGGCUGUUCAGUCCCAUAACAGCUGAAUUUUAUCUGAGGCUGUUCAGCCCCAUAACAGCCAAACUUUUAACUGAAGGCUGUUCAGUCCCAUAACAGCCAAACCUUUAACUGAAGGCUGUUCAGUCCCAUAACAGCUGAAUUUUAACUGAGGCUGUUCAGCCCCAUAACAGCUGAAUUUUAACUGAGGCUGUUCAGUCCCAUAACAGGCAAACCUUUAACUGAAGGCUGUUCAGUCCCAUAACAGCCAAAC